CUAGAGAGUCUCUGGAGGACGCGCCUUCCGCGGUCUCCACCUCCCAGCAGUGGCGGCCUGAUGCGAAACCCUGCGCACCCAGAACGGCCGGGAGCUGAUCGAAGCGCGCGGGACUGUCCACCGGUGCAGGCGUUCCGGGUGGAGCCAGACUCACGCCGCGGUAGUCAGAGGAGAUGAGCAGAUCACGGUGUGCAGUGCGAGGGUCGAGCGUCAGAAACAGGUGAGACUACACUCCAGAAAGCCUGUUGCUAAGUGGAGGUAAAGACAGGGGUCUGGAGAGAAGAUCAUGGCUAUGGCUGUAGGUAGUGGAAAGGAAGAAACAAACAAAAAUGGAACUCACCGUCUCCAUGUCUUCCUCAUAUCCUGGUAUGGGCAGAAGAAAACAUAGGUGUGAGUUCAUACUGUGGGACAUCCUCCCCUCCACCUCAGCUCUUAACAGAGUUCUUUCUGGAUGUGGGCCUGGAGUACCAGAAAAACACCUCUGAGUUCCUUCAGUCCAAGUGCCUUGCCAUGGCCCUUAAGAUCUUCUCUGACAGUGCUUCACAGCCUUGUUUGGACAUUGAAACCACCAGAGAAACCUACGUUUCUGAUUCCUUGGCUGACACCUCCAACCAGUGAAGCAGAACCUCUGGACAUGAGUGACAGACAUCAGCAGCUUUCAAGCUCUUGCAUGAUGUCUUGCAUCAGGAGUCUGCAGUAGACCCGCCUCUCCUGUUUUGUUUCUUCUGCUCUGACUGCAGUGCCUUUUAGUUUCCUGUUCCUUGAACAUUCCAAGGCUGAUCUAGAUGUACAGUCUCCACACUUAUUGUUCCUUCACUUUAGAGAAAGCUUCGAAUAUCUCUCUCUGUCAUCUCAUUCAGGUCUCAUCGAAAAGGUAACAUAGUCAGAGAGGACUCUUGUUUUCCAGUGUUAGGGAUGGAUGCCAUGGUCUCACACCUGCUGGAUGACAAGCCCCACAGGAGCAGGAAUGUAACCUUCAUGUUCACAACUGUCCGACACACACCUGGCCCAGUGCCCAGCACAGUGUCUCAAUGUCUCUACUCAGUUGUUGGAUUACUCAUUGUUGAUUGGGCAAAGUGAGAAGAUCCUCCUUUGAAUGACUACUUAUCCCAUCUAAGUGCCAGACAAAAACACUCUUAUCAAUUAGUAGUCCUUCCUCAUUGUCAGGUGCCAGGGAUGGUGAAUGCUUGGGUGCUAGAAGAACUGGAGCUCUUUCUGCUGCAGAAGUGCACAACUGCAAGCUGUUGCUUCCUGUCUGUAUCCAGGUGGUGAGGACUUCCUCAACCUGAACAGCCUGCUUUCCAAAUGUUCACACCCGAUGGAUCUAGGACAUGGGUAAAGGAAAAGGCAUUUGGGCCUGGACUCUGCCAGGAACAUUUUACUUCUCAAGACUUUCUCCCUCCCUCUCUAGAUGCCCUAAUGAGCUUACCUUAUUAACGAUCCUCUGAUCUUCCCCAGAGUUCAUUCUAUGACCAUAAACGGAAAGUGGAGUUGAGAGAGAGAGAGAGAGAGAGAGAGAGAGAGAGAGAGAGAGAGAGAGAGAGAGAGAUAUGACUUGGCUUACUCCAAUUGACUGUAACAGAAUCUCGCCCCUCCUUAAAGCAGGUGCCUCCUACACAACUGUUCCCACCCCUUUCGGGAUGCCUACUUAUGGUGCUGUAUUACAGCACAGUACCUCUCUCUGCUUGUUACUAAGGAGUGUUAGAAGUCAGACAGGCUCCUUCCCUUUCUUUCUCCC